rnacentral:rRNA from 1 species
GACGAACGCUGGCGGCGUGCUUAACACAUGCAAGUCGAACGGCAAGGCCCUGCUUUCUUGCGGUUCUCGAGUGGCGAACGCGUGAGUAACACGAGAGUAACCUGCCCUUCUCUUUGGGAUAACUUCAGGAAACUGGGGCUAAUCUCGUAUCGGAUCCCCCGCUGCAUGGUGGGGGUUGGAAAGUUUCGGCGGGUGGGGAUGGACUGGCGGCUUAUCAGCUUGCUGGUGGGGGAGUGGCUGACCAAGGCUUUGACGGGUAGCCGGCCUGUGAGGGUGACCGGCGACAAUGGGACUGAGAGACGGACCAGAGUGCUACGGGAGGCAGCAGUGGGGAAUAUUGCACAGUGGGAGGAAGUCGGAGACAGAGACGCCGGGUGCGGGAUGACGGCCUUCGGGGAGUGAAACGCUGUCGCCUGUGACGAAGCGGUAGUGACGGUAAUGGGUGAAGAAGCACCGGCUAACUACGUG